CGCGGCCUAUCAGCUUGUUGGUGGGGUAAUGGCCUACCAAGGCGACGACGGGUAGCCGGCCUGAGAGGGUGACCGGCCACACUGGGACUGAGACACGGCCCAGACUCCUACGGGAGGCAGCAGUGGGGAAUAUUGCACAAUGGGCGCAAGCCUGAUGCAGCGACGCCGCGUGAGGGAUGACGGCCUUCGGGUUGUAAACCUCUUUCAGUAGGGAAGAAGCGAAAGUGACGGUACCUGCAGAAGAAGCGCCGGCUAACUACGUGCCAGCAGCCGCGGUAAUACGUAGGGCGCAAGCGUUAUCCGGAAUCAUUGGGCGUAAAGAGCUCGUAGGCGGUUUGUCGCGUCUGCCGUGAAAGUCCGGGGCUCAACUCCGGAUCUGCGGUGGGUACGGGCAGACUAGAGUGAUGUAGGGGAGACUGGAAUUCCUGGUGUAGCGGUGAAAUGCGCAGAUAUCAGGAGGAACACCGAUGGCGAAGGCAGGUCUCUGGGCAUUAACUGACGCUGAGGAGCGAAAGCAUGGGGAGCGAACAGGAUUAGAUACCCUGGUAGUCCAUGCCGUAAACGUUGGGCACUAGGUGUGGGGGACAUUCCACGUUUUCCGCGCCGUAGCUAACGCAUUAAGUGCCCCGCCUGGGGAGUACGGA
rnacentral:rRNA from 1 species